UCCUCUUAUAGUCCCUACUCAUGUCCUCAAUGAUAGCAUAAGGGCAAAGAUUGAGAGGUAUGUGGUGUGCAGAAUUAUACACGAAGGAAUUUCAAAUUAUCAGCCCACAUUCAAACUUCCACCAGGAUGGACAACUAGGCCUGUUGAUGAAGGAGAACCAAAUUGAUAUGGCAGAAAUCUUUGUGCUUAGUAUAGGGACCCAGUUUUGCCGUGGUCUUUGACAUUGGAAGUUGCAGAUAGAAGAAAUAGCAAAUCGACUUCCUCCUUUUGAUGUUUUCCUCUUCAAGUUCUUUAUUUAUUUGGGAGAUCUCUUCCAGUUCUUUUGUUUGGCCGACUACUGUUAUACUUGCCCCAUAAUUUUCUUUUUUGUUAAAAUGAAUAAAUUUUUAUUGGCUAGUUUCUUCUAACUUUCCCAAGAGGGACUCAGAGAGUUCAGAAUUGUAAAUUCAGAUUUUUCAACAAAGAGAUCAUUGAGAUA